GAUGAACGCUGGCGGCGUGCUUAACACAUGCAAGUCGAGCGAUGAAGUUUCCUUCGGGAAACGGAUUAGCGGCGGACGGGUGAGUAACACGUGGGUAACCUGCCUCAUAGAGUGGAAUAGCCUUCCGAAAGGAAGAUUAAUACCGCAUAACGUUGAAAGAUGGCAUCGUCAUUCAACCAAAGGAGCAAUCCGCUAUGAGAUGGACCCGCGGCGCAUUAGCUAGUUGGUGGGGUAACGGCCUACCAAGGCGACGAUGCGUGGCCGACCUGAGAGGGUGAUCGGCCACAUUGGGACUGAGGCACGGCCCAGACUCCUACGGGAGGCAGCAGUGGGGAAUAUUGCACAAUGGGGGAAACCCUGAUGCAGCAACGCCGCGUGAGUGAUGAAGGUUUUCGGAUCGUAAAGCUCUGUCUUUGGGGAAGAUAAUGACGGUACCCAAGGAGGAAGCCACGGCUAACUACGUGCCAGCCGCCGCCGUAACAC
rnacentral:rRNA from 1 species